ACUCUUCGAUAGAAAGGAACACAGAAAUAAACAGGGAGAGAAAAUAGAGAAAGGUUUAAUGGCUAGCGACCUAUCAUGCCGAAUGCCGAACAGAGGUGUCACACAGCAGAGCAAGGAAGAAGGGGAUAUAUAUAUAUACAUACACAAACACACACA